AUCGAAAAUGGGGAGAAAGGGGGUAAAUGCCAAAAAAACCGGUGUGUCUGAUAUAUGAAACAACUUCCUCAUAGCUAUUCAAAUAGGUUCAAGAAGAGGCUGCCUGACUUUUUGGCUCAAAUCACUUGUGCCACAAAUGAUUUCUUUGAAAACCUGGGCAUUGUUCAAAAGGCAACUCCCUUCCGCAAAGAAAAGAGGCGACCACUUCCUCGUGCCACACAAAGAUUGUCAGACGGACUCGCUGAACUGAAUCUUGUCACACCAGAGCACAGUCUGUGUUCUGUCAUCUGAAACGACAUAAUGCUGUUCCUAUUAUUUUGUGGUGGAUGUUUUGCGUUGUCUGCAGGACAAACCUUUGCUCCAACACCUUCAAUGGGACAAGUGAACAGCACAACACAGGAUUUGCAAUUCUUCGAACAGCUGUCACUUCUUAUCGGGAGCUAAAUAAGACUACAGUUGAUCCAGUCUUGAGUCAGCUCUAUGACAUCAUUGGUGCGCAGCAACCUGAUCUGGACUUUCAGCUGACUGUGAAAACUGUCCAGAAGGUUUGAUGGAUUAUGAUUCAAUGCAUGACAGGUUAACGUUUUUAUGGUACAUCAUGUGCUGCAACUUAUACAGUAUGCAGAUUUGAACUAUUAUACUACUUGCUGAAUUUUCUAUGAUUUUUUUUAUUCUGUUUCAGUCAUUUUUUUAAAAGUGAUGUUACAGAGGUUUGUAUAAUUUCAGCCAGUAGUUUUUGAAAGUAGCUUUUACGAGCCAUUCGACUCGGAAUUCCAAGUCGGGAACUCGGGCUUCUUUCUAGAGCACCGACUUUUCGACCUGAAGGUCACUGACGUCAUGAUUCAACCUUGUUUUUUUCAAUGUCCCAGUUGUCUUGAAAGCACCAUAAAUCCAGAGAAUGCUAGACUUUGAUGACAAAGUUUGAUGACAAAGUUUGCCCACAAGAAGGACUGCCGUGCCACCUGUAUGUUGUGUAGUAAAGCUGUUAGUAGCCCAUGUGUGUCACACCCUUUCCCUCUCAGAAUUUUGCCUAAUGUUCUGACUUGGUGGACUGAUUAGCCUGUUUUAGAGAAAUGUCAUCAUCGAAUAUUGUAAGAGCUUUCAUUGUCUCCUUAUAUGCCCCCGUUGUUUAUCCUACCGUUCUGACUUAGCUAUACAGGGAAAAUACUGUAAGAACGGCUGAUGUUCUGAAUUCUGUCGCUGACCAUUUCAAAAGUGUUGAACGAAUAGGCAUAUUGACUACAUCCGUCUUGGCUUGCUCAUCAUUAAUGUGUUAAUUGAAAUUACAGCUUGCCUCUUAUCCGCUCGUCGUUCCCUUAUGCCAUAGUUUGUACAUCUCAACUGUUAUAUUUCUUACAUAGGUCUAUCUCUUUAGUAUAUAAUUUUAAGCAAUGUUGGAAUUAUGCAUUUCAUUGUUUUGCUUACUUUGUGCAUUAUAAUUAUAAUGUGCUUUUCUCCGCUAGGAGGGGAUACUAUAUAAUGUUGUUUGGUCUGUAACCAUGUUUGCCAGUGACAGUCUCUUCCCAUUUAAAUAUUUUUUUUCCAACAAAAAGUUCAGUAAUAGACCCAUGUAAUUCCAGUUGAUAUUUGGAGGGUUGUUUUGUUUGUGCAAUGCGCGUCGGUAUAUUGUCUAUAAAAGUGGAUCCUCAUGA